rnacentral:tRNA from 1 species
AGUGGCUAAACAGCUUGGCUGCUAACCAAAAGGUUGGCAGUUAGAAUCUGCCAGCCGCUC